UACGUAGGCAGCAAGCGUUGUUCGGAAUUACUGGGCGUAAAGAGUGUGUAGGCGGUGCUCUAAGUUCGGUGUGAAAUCUCCCGGCUCAACCGGGAGGGUGCGCCGGAAACUGGAAUGCUUGAGCGUGGGAGAGGAAAGCGGAAUUCCUGGUGUAGCGGUGAAAUGCGUAGAUAUCAGGAGGAACACCUGCGGUGUAGACGGCUUUCUGGACCAUUGCUGACGCUGAGACACGAAAGCGUGGGUAGCAAACAGG
rnacentral:rRNA from 1 species